AGAACGAACGCUGGCGGCAGGCCUAACACAUGCAAGUCGAACGCCCCGCAAGGGGAGUGGCAGACGGGUGAGUAACACGUGGGAACAUACCCUUCGGUUCGGAAUAACUCAGGGAAACUUGAGCUAAUACCGGAUACGUCCGCGAGGAGAAAGAUUCAUCGCCGGAGGAUUGGCCCGCGUCCGAUUAGCUAGUUGGUGAGGUAACGGCUCACCAAGGCGACGAUCGGUAGCUGGUCUGAGAGGAUGAUCAGCCACAUUGGGACUGAGACACGGCCCAAACUCCUACGGGAGGCAGCAGUGGGGAAUAUUGGACAAUGGGCGAAAGCCUGAUCCAGCCAUGCCGCGUGAGUGAUGAAGGCCCUAGGGUUGUAAAGGCUCUUUCGUCAGGGACGAUAAUGACGGUACCUGAAGAAGAAGCCCCGGCUAACUUCGUGCCAGCAGCCGC
rnacentral:rRNA from 1 species